UCUCACUUGUGCCUAGGGAAAGGUCAUGGUCAAUGAGAAAGCCUUUGAUGGGGAGAGUCUGAGAUGGGACCCAGGAACAUCACCAUGAAGCUGUCCAGGAUGGAUGUGGGACCCUCUGUCAGACCAGGCCAGUUCUCUUAAUGUAAGAUCAGCAGGCCAAGGUCCUGGGAUAUGGGAGCUCCCAGGAAGUGGACUGGGAUGCCUGAGGGAUCCAAGAAUUAGCAGUGUCCUGUGUGGUCUCGCUGAGGGAAGCCAGGCAAAAUCUAGCGGCUCAGCUGUAACAGCCGGAGCUCUUGGCUCCCAAGCAACAGGAAACAAUUCUGGCUUAUUUAAGCAGAAAAGGACUUUAUCAAAAGGAUCUUGGGGAACUCACAAAAUAACCAAGAGGGCUGAAGAAUACAGUUGGUGAGUCGACCAAGGAGGCUGCACAGCAGUCAGGACCACAGCCAAAGUCAGGCAAUCCAGGGAUGACCUCGCUGCCAAAUCCAGGACUCCCUGGCAUACACUGCCACCUUGGGACGUGGAUAUGGUCCCUGUCGCCCCAGGAACUGGAAUGCCAUUGACUUGGCGACUGCCACCAUCCACCAGAAUGGACUUCUGUGCUCCUUGCAUCUCUGUAUUAUUAGUUCCCAACUCCAAGCCUUUGAUGGGGGCAUCUGAUGGAUUGAGCCUAAGCUGCAGUGAAAGACAGUGAAGGAAUUAUCCAGGGAAUCACUAGGAGAAUGGAGACCACAUGGAAAGGAGGU
rnacentral:lncRNA from 10 species